rnacentral:rRNA from 1 species
CCAGCAGCUGCGGUAAUUCCAGCUCCAAUAGCGUAUAUUAAAGUUGUUGCAGUUAAAAAGCUCGUAGUUGGAUUUCUGGUUAAAGGCGAGAGCGCACCUGUGUGAGGCUCGAGUCUUUUGCCAUCCUUCUGUUAACCUUACAUGGCAUUGAUUUGUCGGUUUGGGGCUCAGAUAUUUUACCUUGAGAAAAUUAGAGUGUUUCAGGCAGGCUUGUGCCCGGAUACAUUAGCAUGGAAUAAUGGAACAGGACUUUAGCCUCUUCUGUUGGUCUGAGGGGUUGGAGUAAUGAUUAAUAGGGAUAGUUGGGGGCAUUAGUACUUAACUGUCAGAGGUGAAAUUCUCGGAUUUGUUAAAGACUAACUUAUGCGAAAGCAUUUGCCAAGGAUGUUUUCAUUAAUCAAGAACGAAAGU